rnacentral:ncRNA from 1 species
GGGGAUGACGUCAAGUCCGCAUGGCCCUUAUGGGCUGGGCCACACACGUGCUACAAUGGCAAUGACAAUGGGAAGCAAGGCUGUAAGGCGGAGCGAAUCCGGAAAGAUUGCCUCAGUUCGGAUUGUUCUCUGCAACUCGGGAACAUGAAGUUGAAAUCGCCAGUAAUCGCGGAUCAGCAUGCCGCGGUGAAUAUGUACCCGGGCCCUGUACACACCGCCC